rnacentral:rRNA from 2 species
AGUGGCAGACGGGUGAGUAAUGUAUAGGAAUCUACCUAGUAGUACGGAAUAAUUGUUGGAAACGGCAACUAAUACCGUAUACGCCCUACGGGGGAAAAAUUUAUUGCUAUUAGAUGAGCCUAUAUUAGAUUAGUUAGUUGGUGAGGUAAAGGCUUACCAAGACAAUGAUCUAUAGCUGAUCUGAGAGGAUGAUCAGCCACACUGGAACUGAGAUACGGUCCAGACUCCUACGGGAGGCAGCAGCGGGGAAUAUUGGACAAUGGGCGAAAGCCUGAUCCAGCCAUGCCGCAUGAGUGAAGAAGGCCUUCGGGUUGUAAAGCUCUUUUAGUGAGGAAGAUAAUGACGGUACUCACAGAAGAAGUCCUGGCUAACUCCGUGCCAGCAGCCGCGGUAAUACGGAGAGGGCUAGCGUUAUUCGGAAUCAUUGGGCGUAAAGGGCGCGUAGGCGGGUUAGUAAGUUAAAAGUGAAAUCCCAAGGCUCAACCUUGGAACUGCUUUUAAAACUGCUAGUCUAGAGAUUGAAAGAGGAUAGAGGAAUUCCUAGUGUAGAGAUGAAAUUCGUAAAUAUUAGGAGGAACACCAGUGGCGAAGGCGUCUAU